rnacentral:tRNA from 1 species
AGAGAUGUGGCUGAGUGGUAGAGCAUCUGCUUGAUAUGCAGAAGGUCCCAAUUCAAUCUCCGGCAUCUCCA